CGAAGGCGCUCGGGAGCCUCGGCGGGAGCUCCAGGCUGUGAGGUCCAGCUUCUUGGGGGUUCCACAGCAGAUCGCUGAGAGGUCCACAGCUUCAAUGCCUCUCCCAUAGCCAUGGUCCACUCUCUGGCAUUUGCAAAGGAGGCCUGAGGGUUCCAUGGGCUGCUAGAUUUCAGCAAGACCUCCCAGCUCUGUGUAUUUGAUGAGUCUAUCUCACUAAGAGAAGCUUAAGGGAAGGAAGCCCAGAGACCUCACUUUUUGCUGGGGCAGUUUACUAAUGUUCUGGUGACAUCUUUGGAUCCAUUAUGCUUCUGUCUGGAUGAUUGCUGAAUGGUUGAGUCAUUCGUCUGGAGUUCUCUCUGUGACUUGGGUUCCA